UACGGAGGGUGCAAGCGUUAUCCGGAUUCACUGGGCUUAAAGGGUGCGUAGGCGGAGUGGUAAGUCAGCGGUGAAAUCUCCAAGCUUAACUUGGAAACUGCCGUUGAUACUAUCAUUCUUGAAUAUCGUGGAGGUAAGCGGAAUAUGUCAUGUAGCGGUGAAAUGCUUAGAUAUGACAUAGAACACCGAUUGCGAAGGCAGCUUGCUACACGAUCAUUGACACUGAGGCACGAAAGCGUGGGGAUCAAACAGG
rnacentral:rRNA from 1 species